CACAAUGGUACAUGAUGAUAUAUCGCAGUCGCUAAUGUAUUAUCGUUGUAGUCACCUUGUUAUCAUCGAACGUUGUGCUUAUGAAAUUUGCUUUUUAAUGGAAUUUAAUUCGGUAGCGCGAGUUUGUGCUUUCAUACGUAAAAUGUUGCAUAGAAGGAUUAACUUUUAAACAAAUGAAUGGACAAGUAACCAGAGUUUGAAAUCGAUACAAGCCAGAGCAGCAGACGUUGUGAAACUUCCCAGUGUCAAUAAUGGAUUAAUCGGACCCAAUGGAGAUAUGCAAAUUACAGGUCAUCGAGUCUUCCGCACUACCAGGACUUCAUUGGACAUUGACAAGGGAAGAAUCGAGGCUUAGUCCAAUCAGCCCGUUUCAUCCAAAACAAGGAAGAUCAAUGUAUGUCUUUAAGGCAGGACGUUGGAAUAAGAAUGCGCCCUGAAAUCUACAAAACUACCCAGGACUAAAGAUGAAAAUCGAACUUAUUAAAGAUCUAAAGUCAACUAAAGCAUCACUCGCAGGAAUUGAUAUGCAAGACUUUGAAACGAGAUCCCGUAAUGUGCAAAAUAACCCAGGAUUAGUGACGGACAUCGAAUCUAUUAGAGAUCUGGAAUCAACUAAGCUUCAAGACCAGGAAUCGACAUGCAGAACCGUGGGACAAAACCAUGUCCCGCAAUCUGUCCAAAAGACUAGAAAUGGGCAUCGAACCUAUAGGAGAUGCUGAGUCAAGUAAGCAUCACGAGGAGGAAUUGACAUUUAUCCAGGCAAAAAAUUGGGACAAGACUGAGUCUUGUAAUCUGCAAAACUGCCCAGGAUUAAAGAUGGGCAUCGAACCUGUUGGAGAUGAAG